rnacentral:ncRNA from 2 species
UCAAAUGCAAUGAACGGGAUAAGUAAAUUAGCUGCGCUAUUAUCAGAGAGCCGGGGGGUGGUGUGACCCGGUAGGCGUGCAUAUUGAAAUACACCCGUGAGCAGCAGGUCGAACGGAAUACAAGUAGACUGCGCCGGAGGCCACCGUUAUCAUAGGCUAGGGUAUCGGAAUUCCUGUACCUGAAAGAGUGGCUUGCUAUUUAUUUAAGCAAGCAGGGUGGUACCGCGAGUAAAGUCUCGUCCCUGUA